CUGAGCUUUCUCCCAUGGAGAGAGACCUGCAGCACAGGAGCUGAAGUCCUCCCCGCGGCUCCAAUCCAAUCACCGGUCCCAGAGGCAUCCUGGAGGCCAGCUUCUUCAUCGCCUGAGAUGAGGAAACAAUUUCAGAGACGCUGAGUGAAUGGCCUGUAUUUUCAGAGCUGGAAAUUGGUGAGCUA